rnacentral:rRNA from 1 species
GGAAGGAUCAUUAACGAAUUGUAAUGGGGGGGUUGAUGCUGGAGGCCGUUUCUUUGGCUGCAAUGUGCUCGCCCCCCUAACAAUAUUCAUCCAAACGCCACCUGUGCACAAUUUGGGGGAUGGUCUCUGAGUUUGAUUGCCUGUUCUUGGCCGACAGGUUUUCUUCGGGGGGUUCCUUCCCUCUCUCCCCUCAUAUAUACACACACUGCUUUUACAAUAUUGAACGUGAUUUGUGCCGCAAGGCCUUUGUUGCAAUAAUACAACUUUUAACAACGGAUCUCUUGGCUCUCGCAUCGAUGAAGAACGCAGCGAAAUGCGAUAAGUAAUGUGAAUUGCAGAAUUCAGUGAAUCAUCGAAUCUUUGAACGCACCUUGCGCUCCCUGGUAUUCCGGGGAGCACGCCUGUUCGAGUGUCGUGAAAUCCUCAAGCUUUAAGGAUGCUUUUUCAUCCUUAAGCUUGGUAAUUGGGCUUUGCUGUGGGGUGCCCUUUCAUUGGGAAAACCGCUGGCCUUAAAAUCAUUAGCUGAUCCUCAUGUUGUGGCGUUGGUUUCUACUCAGCGUGAUAAUGAAUCUGACCGCUGGGGGGACAUCCUUCGGGAUGGCCAAUUCUCAUCUUGGGUUGCUUCUAAUUUGGCUUUUACAGAUCUGUUUAGCCUUCUGUUUUGACCUCGAAUCAGGUGGGACUACCCGCUGAACUUAAGCAUAUCAAUAAGCGGAGGAAAAGAAACUAACAAGGAUUCCCCUAGUAACGGCGAGUGAAGCGGGAAGAGCUCAAAUUUAAAAUCUGGCAGUCUUUGAUUGUCCGAAUUGUAAUCUAGAGAAGCGUUUUCCGCGCUGGACUGUGUACAAGUUUCUGGAUACGGAACAUCAUAGAGGGUGAGAAUCCCGUCCUUGACACAG